GGGACUUCCUGGUUCUGUCGGCCCGGUCGGUCCUGGCGGACCCAACGGAGACAAGGUGAGCUCAGAGGUUUGAUUUAAAACCUUCUGAACAUGGAGGUCAAGAUUUCGCCAUCAGUAAGUAACGAAGUCUCCCGUGGUCUUCAGGGUGAACCCGGACCGCCGGGGCCGUCGGGGCGCAGAGGCACCAGAGGCAUCGCGGGUUCUACGGGAGAGCCGGGUCCCACCGGCGCUGCUGGCUUCGCCGGGCCUCAAGGUCCGGACGGGCAGCCCGGGGCCAAAGGUGAAGCCGGCGAACCCGGAUUGAAGGGUGAAGGGGGACCACCCGGUCCACAGGGGACGGCCGGGAAGUCUGGAGGACAGGUACGAGAUCUGAGAGUUGGUGGAUCCACCGGUACCUGUGAUCGGAGAAGGGAGGCGGGGUCACUUCCUGUUUUAGA
rnacentral:lncRNA from 1 species